rnacentral:sRNA from 1 species
GCUGGGUGUGGUGGUGCACACCUGUAAUCCCAGAGGCUUGGGACGCUGAGGCAGGAGGAUCACAAGUUCAAGGACAGCCUCAGCAACUUAGUGACAGCCUGCCUCAA